GAUGAAGAACGUAGCGAAAUGCGAUAAGUAAUGUGAAUUGCAGAAUUCAGUGAAUCAUCGAAUCUUUGAACGCACAUUGCGCCCCCUGGUAUUCCGGGGGGCAUGCCUGUUCGAGCGUCAUUUCACCACUCAAGCCUCGCUUGGUAUUGGGCAACGCGGUCCGCUGCGUGCCUCAAAUCGACCGGCUGGGUCUUCUGUCCCCUAAGCGUUGUGGAAACUAUUCGCUAAAGGGUGUUCGGGAGGCUACGCCGUAAAACAACCCCAUUUCUAAGGUUGACCUCGGAUCAGGUAGGGAUACCCGCUGAACUUAAGCAUAUCAAUAAGCGGAGGA
rnacentral:misc_RNA from 1 species